rnacentral:rRNA from 1 species
GCCAGCCCCGGGCCUGCGGCCGGGUGAAUAGGGGGGGUGCGUGCGUUGAUCGGAAUUAGUGGGCGUAAGGCGUGCGUAGGCGGUUUGGUCAGUCAGCCGUGAAAGCCCUGGGCUCAACCUGGGAACGGCGGUUGAGACGGCCAGACUGGAGUGGGCUAGAGGAUCGUGGAAUUCCGGGUGUAGCGGUGAAAUGCGUAGAGAUCCGGAGGAACACCGAUGGCGAAGGCAGCUGUCUGGGGCCACACUGACGCUGAGGCACGAAAGCGUGGGGAGCAAACAGGAUUAGAUACCCUAGUAGUC